rnacentral:rRNA from 1 species
UAACCUGCCCAAGAGAUCGGGAUAACACCUGGAAACAGAUGCUAAUACCGGAUAACAACAGAUGAUGCCUAUCAACUGUUUAAAAGAUGGUUCUGCUAUCACUCUUGGAUGGACCUGCGGNGCAUUAGCUAGUUGGUAGGGUAACGGCCUACCAAGGCGAUGAUGCAUAGCCGAGUUGAGAGACUGAUCGGCCACAUUGGGACUGAGACACGGCCCAAACUCCUACGGGAGGCAGCAGGA